rnacentral:piRNA from 1 species
UGCGAUGCUAAUGAGCCAGAGAUAGUC